UACGGAGGAUCCAAGCGUUAUCCGGAUUUAUUGGGUUUAAAGGGUGCGUAGGCGGCCUAUUAAGUCAGGGGUGAAAGACGGUGGCUCAACCAUCGCAGUGCCUUUGAUACUGAUGGGCUUGAAUGAACCUGAGGUAGGCGGAAUGUGACAAGUAGCGGUGAAAUGCAUAGAUAUGUCACAGAACACCAAUUGCGAAGGCAGCUUACUAAAGUUUAAUUGACGCUGAGGCACGAAAGCGUGGGGAUCAAACAGGAUUAGAUACCCCCGUAGUCC
rnacentral:rRNA from 1 species